GUUAGGAUUCCACCCUUCCAAGGUGGAGGUUCGUGUUCGAUUCACGGCAGUUGCA
rnacentral:tRNA from 1 species